CCUACGGGGGGCAGCAAUUAGGAAUCUUGCGCAAUGGGGGAAACCCUGACGCAGCGUGGAGGACGAAGGUCUUCGGAUUGUAAACUCCUUUUGCAGGGGACGAAAAAAAUGACGGUACUCUGCGAAUAAGCCACGGCUAACUACGUGCCAGCAGCCGCGGUAAUACGUAGGUGGCGAGCGUUACUCGGAAUCACUAGGCGUAAAGCGCGUGUAGGCGGUAUUUUAAGUCUGUUGUGAAAUCUUAUGGCUCAACCAGAAAAUGGCGACAGAUACUGAAGUACUAGAGUGAGGCAGGGGAAACUGGAAUUCCAGGUGUAGCGGUGAAAUGCGUAGAUAUCUGGAAGAACGCCAAAGGCGAAGGCAGGUUUCUGGGCCUUUACUGACGCUGAGACGCGAAA
rnacentral:rRNA from 1 species